AGAGUUUGAUCCUGGCUCAGGAUGAACGCUGGCGGCGUGCUUAACACAUGCAAGUCGAACGAUGACUUUUGUGCUUGCACAAAAUGAUUAGUGGUGAACGGGUGAGUAACACGUGAGUAACCUGCCCUUAACUUCGGGAUAAGCCUGGGAAACCGGGUCUAAUACCGGAUACGACGGAUUCCCGCAUGGGGGUCCGUGGAAAGCUUGAUGCGGUUUUGGAUGGACUCGCGGCCUAUCAGCUAGUUGGUUGGGGUAAUGGCCCACCAAGGCGACGACGGGUAGCCGGCCUGAGAGGGUGACCGGCCACACUGGGACUGAGACACGGCCCAGACUCCUACGGGAGGCAGCAGUGGGGAAUAUUGCACAAUGGGCGAAAGCCUGAUGCAGCGACGCCGCGUGAGGGACGAAGGCCUUCGGGUUGUAAACCUCUUUCAGCAGGGAAGAAGCGAAAGUGACGGUACCUGCAGAAGAAGCGCCGGCUAACUACGUGCCAGCAGCCGCGGUAAUACGUAGGGCGCAAGCGUUAUCCGGAAUUAUUGGGCGUAAAGAGCUCGUAGGCGGUUUGUCGCGUCUGCUGUGAAAGCCCGGGGCUCAACCCCGGGUCUGCAGUGGGUACGGGCAGACUAGAGUGCAGUAGGGGAGACUGGAACUCCUGGUGUAGCGGUGAAAUGCGCAGAUAUCAGGAGGAACACCGAUGGCGAAGGCAGGUCUCUGGGCUGUAACUGACGCUGAGGAGCGAAAGCAUGGGGAGCGAACAGGAUUAGAUACCCUGGUAGUCCAUGCCGUAAACGUUGGGCACUAGGUGUGGGGGACAAUCCACGUUUUCCGCCGCCGUAACUAACGCAUUAA
rnacentral:rRNA from 1 species